rnacentral:misc_RNA from 1 species
UCAUAAUAUUGUUCUCUCGUUUGUCUCGAGCUACGCGUGCAACAUAAUAGUAUGGUGGUGAUGAGGAACUGCCCGAAACCUAUCCCAUCGAGAGAAAAUCUAGCUGUUGUGUAAAUAGCGCGUAGUGGUGUCUGCGCGUGUGUUAUGCGCAUUCGCGGGGACAGAUGAGCGCGGGAUCGCGGUGGUCAGACGCGAGGGGACUGUAGCACGGAUGCUUCUACGAGAAACGUUGAAUGGAGUUUAUACAAAGUGUUGGGUAGCGUACAAUUAACGUUCUUCGCGCGUCUUCCUUCAUUCAAACACGUAGAAUAAGGGUUCGGUCCCAAGGGGACCUCACGAUGGACGGGGCCAACGUGAAUGGCGGGAACGCCGAGGAGGCGCGCGAUAAUCCUAACCUAGAACUCAUUGGAAUGUCGGAGAUUGAAGAGACGCAGGUUAAAGUGGAAUCAAUUGCAAUAAUGGACGGUCAAGAAGUGAACGGUGACGUUAAAGGUUCAUCGAAAAGGAGUCCUACUCCGGUCGUUAGAAGAAAGUUAAGGAAGUUCAAGGCCAAUUCGACUAGUACCAUUGAAAGUGAUACAAGUACAAAGGAACGCAAGCGUAAGCUUUCCGAACUUGAUGAUGUUAGCUCUGAGGAGUCUAUGGAAUUCAAUGGAUUUGAUGCACAGUGGGCUAAUGAAAUGGAACCAGGCAGCAAUGUUCUGAGAAAAUUAAUUGCUGAAGCUGAGGUGGCAGAAGCCCAAUUGGUAAAACGGUAUAGAUAUAGCACGAAAAAGAAUUUUGAUGGGAGGAAUGAUGAAGAUUCAGAUGACAAUAGAAUGCAUAAUUAUGAUACUGAACAUAUGUUAUAUAUACACAAAAUAAAGAAGGAAAAAGAAUCUGAUAGAUCUGAAACAGAUUCAAUCGGAUUACCAAAUACUGUGGAAUCUGAAACAGACGUACAAAAAACAGAAGAAACUUCAGUUAAGUCAACAAACUCGUCUGCUGCUAGUAGUCCAGCAACAUCACUGAAAUCUAGAGGUAGUCGUAUGACGCGUGUAGUCAGUCCAGGAAGUACGGUAAAACAAAAAGUGGUUGUUGAUAUGUCAAACCCUGCGUUCAAAGAACCUUUUAAAUAUGGUUGGAAGAGAGAGUUAGUGUUUAGAGCAAGCACUGAUUCAACCCUUAAAAGAAUGGCUGAUAUAUACUAUUAUACACCAAAGGGGAAAAAAGUUCGAAGUUUCAGAGAAGUUGCAGAAUUUCUUAACACGAAAGAGUUAACUAUUGAUAACUUCACAUUCUUCAAAGAACCAAUUGGUAUAGACGAUCCUGAGAAGGAAAUUAUUCGAGAUGCAAAAAGAAUGAGAGGAUCUGUAGCAGCAACGCCGCCAAGGAAAAGCCUGACAUAUAAAAGAAGUACACCUGGAAGGAAAGCUGCGGAACCAUCACCUCCUGCUCCUAUAUCUGUGCCUACAAAAGCUUCUAAAUCGCCAAAAGCUCAAUCAGCAGGAUUCAGAGUUAAAGUGCCUGGAAAAAGAACCCCUCAAAUAACAGAAAUAAAGUCAUCUGAAGAAAGCGAGAUGCUCCCACCGCAAAGAACUACGACCACAAGAAGAAGUCAGCAGAUCGUAGAAAAACCACCACCUCCUAAACCUAAAAGACAAUUAACGCCCAAAGUUCAAGAACCAUGCAGUAUAAGAUGCUCAACGAGUAUGGGGUUGAUACCGAGCUUGCAAUGUAGCGUGUGUCUCUGUUUAUACCAUCCUGAGUGUGUUGGUGGUACGGAAUUUACGGGAAGUGAUGAUUACGUUUGCAAGAACUGUCAGCAGGAUACUACUGAAUCUCAGCAACCACAAACAAAUCCAUCUUUGACACCUCCUCCGUUAAUACCAAUUAGUAUGCUAGGCGCGCAAAGUGCAAAGACAAAGCAUCAAGUAAAUUCAACUCCACCGAGAUUGCAAAGAAUUCCAAAAUCUGAUAGCACAGACUCACAGCCCCGAAAUGCUACCAAAGUUUCGAAAGCAUCCACUGCAGCAUCGUAUUCCCCUUCGAAUUCAGAGAAAAAAGAAAGCAGUUGGUAUUCACAGACAGAAAAUGAAUUUUUACAAAGUCACGAUGGAACAUUACCGAAACCAGCUCAAAAUAUUGCCCUGAUGGGAGGGAAAAAAUAUAUAGUUGUGCCAAAAAAUAAUGCCAUGGCUGUUCAGCCAGCCAUAACAGUGAAACCUGAUAAAAUUGGUGAUAAACCUCCCAUACUUCAGGAUGGUUCGCUUACUGAUAUUAUGAACACUGCGGAAAACUCAUUGAUCGCAAAGUCGCAUAUUCCAUCGUCGGUAAAUUCUUUAGGGAAAGGUUAUGUCGAUAAAUCAAGUGACAGAAAUGUGUCGAAAGAUGUAUCACAGACAGAAGUUGCUGCGUGUGCUGUAGAGGAAAGAUUUGAAGAGACGUGCAAUAACAGCAGUAAAGUAGAAACGUUGACUGCAAACAGAUUAGAAAACGAUACGUCCAAUAUAAGGACAGAUUUUACAGAAGAAGACCAGAAAUCGACGACGAGUAUCAAAUCACCUGAAAGGACGGCAAGAAAGCAAAACCAGCAGGAAAAAGAACAACAACAACAUUUUAUGGAUUCAGUCUGUGCUGGUUAUCAUGCCUUGCUACGUAUAUUCCAAUAUCUUAAGGUUCAAGAGUUGCUUCGAGCUGCUAGAGUGUGCAAAAUGUGGAGGGACUUGGCUGCACAUCCGUCACUAUGGAAAACUGUGCGAAUGAAAAAUAGUCAAGUGACGGACUGGGAUGGUUUAGCGGAUACACUGCAAAGGCGUGGUACUCAACAUUUAGACCUCCGAAAAAUGCUUGUAGCGGGCGAGUCUGAUAGCAUUUGGAAAAAGUUCUUGACAGUAAUACCACGUGUAACUAGUCUUGUCAAGUUGGAGUUAUGCAGAUGUCCUGUAAUAGUAGUAGAAGAAGUUAUAAGCAGUUGUCCUCAGCUGGAGGUGUUGAGUGCAAUGUCAAUAAAAUGCGAUUCCUUAAACUUGGAAUCGGUUGGAAAUCUCAAACGUUGUCAAGAAUUGAGGCUGAAGGCAAUUAGCGGAAUGUCUCUCCAAGAAGAUCUCACGCCUUUACAGGAACUAACACAGUUAUCGCAACUCAGUUUAACAUCCGUUAAGGAACUUGGAAAGAAGAAAAUCGAAAUAAUACAAAAUUUAUCAAACUUGGAAACAUUGGAAUUAGGAGAAUGUUCCGAUUUUCCAGACAAAUUUGGCACCACUGUUUUGAUAAAGUUACAAAAAUUGGAGCGUCUCAGGCUUGAAAAAGGGCAAGGGUCGUGUUGCACAUUCGAUAUUUUGGAGGGUGUGUCCAAGCUGCAAAAUUUGAGUCAAAUGGAGUUGGUCAACUUUGACGUUAAAAAUGGCUUCGACAAAUGUCUUGCGAAUUGUAAAAAUAUUAAAAGGCUAUUAAUUAUACCAACUUACAUAUCCCAGUCGGCAACGUCUAACAAUAUGGUGCUCGGUGGUGUUACUGAAUUGUCAAACAAUUUGACACAUUUCGUAUGGGGCGUUACACUUGAAUUACUUAGGGUUACAGAACUAUUUGUUGACCAGUGUAAUUUAAUGAGUAAACAAGUCACUGGUGAUUCGAUACCAGUUUUAAAGCCAGUACCCUGUUUAAAAUUAAUCGAAGAUGUUGAGGAUGAAAAUGACAAUCAAAAAGGUGAUGAUAAACAACAACCAAACUUAACAAAUCCUCAAGUGGACAUACUACCAUUGCCACAACUUCAAAAACUAUUAUUAACUGCGUUGCCCAAAACACGAGUUAAAAUCUUGAAGAUUCCCUUCCAUGCAACAUGGCGACAAAGCAUUUCAGACACUGCUACACAAUAGAAACGAAUUAAAUAAAAUUGUAUAAAUACACAUGCUACAAAGGAAAGAAAAUAACCCGAUAUGAGAGAAUUUGAAGUUUUGUGAAUCUGACUCCACAGUGUCUGCACAACUUAUUCCAGUUAUUGUGAAUUGGAUGAAAAGUAAUUUAAUAUUUAUGUACUAUGUGUUUUGUAGUCUUCGACAAUUCCCCUUGAAUAGUGUACUGAUACACUCCAGUAAUUACACAUACUGUUCUCGUUGAAGUUUUUAGUGAUAAAAACAGGGGACCAUAAAUGCAUUGCGUGCUGUUUCGGCUACAAAGCAAAAUACCGUGAGAGGCUGGUAUCCUUGUGUAAAUCGUCUGAACAAAGAAAAUCUUACAUUUUUUAGACUGUAAUACAUGAUACACUUUUCAUAUACAAUCCGCAGACUAUUUGAUAUACUGUAAUGUGCAUCUGCGUGAAAUGAAAUGUCUGAAUUCUAACAAAAGCGGAUGUACAUGUUUAGAAUAAUUACUGUGUGAAAAUUAAGAUUUAUGAAGGCGUCGCGCACAUUUAUUAAAAGGGGAUUGAUAAAUGAAGUUACACAGUUUUCGGUUUUUACAAAUGUGGAAAACUAUUGAAAGUAAGACGUUGAGUCAAGAUAAAUUAUACAUUUUAUUUCGUGACAUACAACGGACUUCGGUGAAUUUCUAUUGAGGUAGCAGUGAAAGAGGAAACGAAAUCAUGUGGUCUAUAGGCUCUAUUUAGAGAUCUUAAACAAAGGAAACACUCGUUUCAUUAAACAUUUGUAUAUUUAAUUCUUCACGCACA